UACAGAGGGGGGCAAGCGUUGUUCGGAAUUACUGGGCGUAAAGGGCGCGUAGGCGGCCUGGCAAGUGGAAGGUGAAAUCCCUCGGCUUAACCGAGGAACUGCCCUCCAAACUGCUUGGCUUGAGACCGGGAGAGGUGAGUGGAAUUCCCAGUGUAGCGGUGAAAUGCGUAGAUAUUGGGAGGAACACCAGUGGCGAAGGCGGCUCACUGGACCGGUACUGACGCUGAGGCGCGAAAGCGUGGGGGAGCAAACGGG
rnacentral:rRNA from 1 species